rnacentral:rRNA from 1 species
AACGAACGCUGGCGGCAUGCCUAACACAUGCAAGUCGAACGAAGGCUUCGGCCUUUGUGUCGCACGGGGGCGUAACGCGUGGGAAGCUUCCCACGGGGUUGGCCUAACAGCUGGAAACGGCUGCCAAUACGGGAUGAUGGCUAAAGCCCAAAGAUUUAUUGCCCGAGGUUGAGCCCUCGUUGGAUUAGGUUGUUGGUGGGGUAAAGGCCUACCAAGCCGACGAUCCAUAGCUGGUCUGUGAGGAUGAUCAGCGACACUGGGACUGAGACCCGGCCCAGACUCCUACGGGAGGCGGCAGUGGGGAAUAUUGGACAAUGGGCGCAAGCCUGAUCCAGCACUGCCGCGUGAGUGCUGAAGGUAGUAGGGUUGUAAAGCUCUAUUAACCGGGAAGGUCAUGACGGUACCGGGUGAGUAAGCCCCGGCUAACUCCGUG